rnacentral:rRNA from 1 species
UACGGAGGGGGCUAGCGUUGUUCGGAAUUACUGGGCGUAAAGGGCGCGUAGGCGGUUCGUUAAGUCCUGUGUGAAAUCCCCCGGCUCAACUGGGGAACUGCACAGGAAACUAGCGGGCUUGAGUUCGGGAGAGGGAAGCGGAAUUCCGGGUGUAGCGGUGAAAUGCGUAGAUAUCCGGAGGAACACCGGUGGCGAAGGCGGCUUCCUGGACCGACACUGACGCUGAGGCGCGAAAGCUAGGGGAGCAAACGGG